GGCGACCUCACUAGAAUACAGCAGAAAAUGCAGAUGACAUCACGUGUCUGAAACAAAAAAGGGGAAGCAAGACAACAACAACAGCAGCAGUCCCUGCUCGGAAUCUGGGCCAUUGCCGACGAGGCAAUCGCUCGUGGCACCUGAAUACCUGGCGAGCGCGGAGUGAACGGAAAAAAGAAAGAAAGAAAGAAAUCUCGACCAACCACGAACCUGUUCCCUCGGUCAACCAUCGGAAUGAGGGCGUGCAACGCCCUCCGCCAACGCCGUCAUUGACAAGUAGAAGAAAUACCCGCAGGUGAAGCAGACGACGAGCAACGGGGCAAAGCAGACGUUGAACCCGUCCACUGUAGCAGGAAGUUUUCACAGGACUCGAAGAACGCUACGACGACGGUCACGCUCAGGCUGC